CAAAUCACCUGUGUGUGUACGAACACUCCUUGCCCCACACUCGGCUGGCCACGGGUGAUGUGGAAGGGGAGUGACGCACACAUCAGCUGCUUGAGCGCCUAGCUCGCGGUCCGCUUUGCCAGCCGCUUGAGCCUCGAGCUCGUGGUCUGGUCCUUAGCCGCUCGAGCCUAGAGCUUGCAGUCCUUAGCCGCCCAGCGGCUCUGCCCGACUAGGCCUCUGACCCGCUAGCGGGCUCGGUUGGCCAGCGGAUAUUUUUACUUUUUCCAUAAAUAUAUUUUUUUUCAUUUCUCUCAACAAAAUAAAAUUAUAAAAUCAUAUAAUUAAGCAAAAAUUCAUAUUAAUCAACUAGAAACUACUUCUCACGAUUUAACACAAAAAUAAGUAUAUUUAUCAUGAGUUAAGACUAAAAACAUCAUUGUUGGAAUUAAUCGUAUCUGAUAUGCUCUCAAGAGGUGGCAACUUGUCUUCUGGCAGAUCGUCCUUCAUGAUAAUGAAGGCUUUGCAUCUUUCUUAUUAAGCAAAUAUUUUAAUACUGCAUGGUCAGUAUAAAUGAUGAUUUUAGGUCCUAAAAUAUAUGAUCUAAAUCUUUCUAAUGAAAAUACUACNNNNNNNNNNNNNNNNNNNNNNNNNNNNNNNNNNNNNNNNNNNNNNNNNNNNNNNNNNNNNNNNNNNNNNNNNNNNNNNNNNNNNNNNNNNNNNNNNNNNCUCUCUCUCUCUCUCUCUCUCUCUCUCUUCCCAUGGGUACUUCUAUAUUGCAUGUAUGUGUGAGUGGGGGAAUGUACUACGACUAAGAACAAUGACGAAGCCAUAUGAGACCCGCAAGGAAGAUAAGAAGUCAACCGACCCAGUCUUCUAUCCUACGAAAGAAGGCCAUAGUUUAUCAACUAUUAAAAGCCAAGUUUCUCAUUCUUCGAUAAAAACCCAUUUCAUGUCACAGAUAGAGAGAGAGAGAGAGAGAGAGAGAGAGAGAGAGAGAUUCUCCAUGUCUGAUUAAGCUUUAAUGGCCCACGGUGACAGACAGAGAAACAUGCCUGGUUUCCUGAAGGUGGGUACGCAGCGUACAGCAGCCACUCUUCAUCGAUGAGGAGGGAAGCAUGAUUGCGGGUUGAAGAUACGAAAAUGCCACCGGGCCAGCGCAUGGGAGCGCAGGGAUCUGACCAACCACGGGGGAACAACAGAGAGAACGAGUGGCGCUUCUGUCAACUUGUCCAAUAAUCGUCUUCGUCACCCGCCCUCCCCCGCCUCGAAGCCUGAUUGGGACACUCGGAAGUGGAGGAACCGGCGCCACCAUAAAGCCACCGGCUCUGCGCCCAUGGAUCCAGCUUGGAAGGGAAAUCUAGGCGGAGAGAGAAGAUGAGAGAGAGGCCACGUUAAGUUUCUACCGGGUUUCAGGGCCUCCUUCGCCUACGUACCGAGGGAAAUUAUCCCUCAUAGAGAGACCAGAGCUCCUCUCCAAUGGCCGCACGAGUUGCAGAGGAGCCAGAGCCCCGGAUGAGCGAGGUAAGGCAGCCUCUUCCCCUUCUUCAUCCCAGCUGUGAUGGCCUGCGCGCUUCCGCAUCAGCCAAUGCAACUCCUCUACGAUACAGAGAUCAUGGACGGAUAGACCAGGCCGGGGGUUCCCUCAGUGGCCUCUGAUUGAAUCUGAUAGAACGCCGCUUUAAAUGACUAACUUGGUCUUUAUGGAACCGAAAUCUCAUCUACCCUGUUGUGGAAAACCUCGGAAGAAACUCAAAAACAUUAGCGAUUAAUUGAUCAUGGUUUUUAAUCUUUCAGAGCUCAUCAGAAGCGGCCUUGGAACGUGACCGAAGCACAGCAAAUUCAGCUCAAGAACUGGCCCACUCGAUGCUUGAAGUGAAACCUUCAGAGCUGACACGCCUGACUGAAUCGGGACCGGCCGCCGCCGAACCAGCUGCUGGAGCUGAUCUUUGUGAUGUGCCGGCCUCUGAACCUCCGCCGGCACCAGAAGAGCAUGCUUCUGUAUCUACCCCCCCGCAGAAUGAAGAUGCUGAAGAAGAGAGAGACCGCGAAGCCUCUUCAGAAGAGCCCACUGAAGAGCGGAGCACAGAUGAUCAGGAAGCCCCACCUACGAUCCAUUCCGGGACUGGCGAGCGGCUCAUUCCCGAGGCUCCAAAGCCAGAACAAGAACACUCAGAUGAAGAUCCAAGACUAGGCCAUGACACCAAGGUUCCUGAAGCUAUAGAAGCCGCCGGUGAUGAUCGGGCUUCAGGGAAGGAAGCUCUCGACGGCGGCGAGGCCUCCCUGCAUCCCGAAAGCUUGCUUCUCAGGGAGAACCAAGACACCGCCAUCUCACUAACCGAUGAUACUCCAAAAGAAGAAGCUACAGCCGACGAUUCUUCUCAGCAGUCUGCAGAAGGCCACCGCCUACAGAACGAACCAGAGCAUGACGAUCCUGCUCCACCUAUCCACGAGACAGUGGAAGAAGACCAGCUUCACAAAGCGCUGGAUCCAACUCACCUGGACUCCCAGGUCGACGACCACCACAACCCAGUGGAGUCGGAGCACUACGUUGAAGAAAGCUCAAAGGCCAGGGAUGCCGGCUCUCCAGCAUCCCAGUCCAGCGAACAGGAGGAAGACGGACCAUCAACGACACAACCUCCAGAUGCCCAAGACACAAAGGAACCUCCAAAGUCAAACGACCCAGGUCCUGACCGUACGGAGGCCCUUGAAGAUGCCCAUGUGGAGGUCGCCCCACAGAGCCAGGAACGAGAAGGUGAGGACCUUGACAGUAACCUGGCANNNN
rnacentral:lncRNA from 1 species